CAGGACGAACGCUGGCGGCGUGCCUAAUACAUGCAAGUCGAACGAACUCUGGUAUUGAUUGGUGCUUGCAUCAUGAUUUACAUUUGAGUGAGUGGCGAACUGGUGAGUAACACGUGGGAAACCUGCCCAGAAGCGGGGGAUAACACCUGGAAACAGAUGCUAAUACCGCAUAACAACUUGGACCGCAUGGUCCGAGCUUGAAAGAUGGCUUCGGCUAUCACUUUUGGAUGGUCCCGCGGCGUAUUAGCUAGAUGGUGGGGUAACGGCUCACCAUGGCAAUGAUACGUAGCCGACCUGAGAGGGUAAUCGGCCACAUUGGGACUGAGACACGGCCCAAACUCCUACGGGAGGCAGCAGUAGGGAAUCUUCCACAAUGGACGAAAGUCUGAUGGAGCAACGCCGCGUGAGUGAAGAAGGGUUUCGGCUCGUAAAACUCUGUUGUUAAAGAAGAACAUAUCUGAGAGUAACUGUUCAGGUAUUGACGGUAUUUAACCAGAAAGCCACGGCUAACUACGUGCCAGCAGCCGCGGUAAUACGUAGGUGGCAAGCGUUGUCCGGAUUUAUUGGGCGUAAAGCGAGCGCAGGCGGUUUUUUAAGUCUGAUGUGAAAGCCUUCGGCUCAACCGAAGAAGUGCAUCGGAAACUGGGAAACUUGAGUGCAGAAGAGGACAGUGGAACUCCAUGUGUAGCGGUGAAAUGCGUAGAUAUAUGGAAGAACACCAGUGGCGAAGGCGGCUGUCUGGUCUGUAACUGACGCUGAGGCUCGAAAGUAUGGGUAGCAAACAGGAUUAGAUACCCUGGUAGUCCAUACCGUAAACGAUGAAUGCUAAGUGUUGGAGGGUUUCCGCCCUUCAGUGCUGCAGCUAACGCAUUAAGCAUUCCGCCUGGGGAGUACGGCCGCAAGGCUGAAACUCAAAGGAAUUGACGGGGGCCCGCACAAGCGGUGGAGCAUGUGGUUUAAUUCGAAGCUACGCGAAGAACCUUACCAGGUCUUGACAUACUAUGCAAAUCUAAGAGAUUAGACGUUCCCUUCGGGGACAUGGAUACAGGUGGUGCAUGGUUGUCGUCAGCUCGUGUCGUGAGAUGUUGGGUUAAGUCCCGCAACGAGCGCAACCCUUAUUAUCAGUUGCCAGCAUUAAGUUGGGCACUCUGGUGAGACUGCCGGUGACAAACCGGAGGAAGGUGGGGAUGACGUCAAAUCAUCAUGCCCCUUAUGACCUGGGCUACACACGUGCUACAAUGGAUGGUACAACGAGUUGCGAACUCGCGAGAGUAAGCUAAUCUCUUAAAGCCAUUCUCAGUUCGGAUUGUAGGCUGCAACUCGCCUACAUGAAGUCGGAAUCGCUAGUAAUCGCGGAUCAGCAUGCCGCGGGUGAAUACGUUCCCGGGCCUUGUACACACCGCCCGUCACACCAUGAGAGUUUGUAACACCCAAAGUCGGUGGGGUAACCUUUUAGGAACCAGCCGCCUAAGGUGGGACAGAUGAUUAAGGGUGAAGUCGUAACAAGGUAGCCGUAAGA
rnacentral:rRNA from 2 species